AGUUUGAUCCUGGCUCAUAACGAACGCUGGCGGCGUGGAUAAGACAUGCNNNNNNNAACGCGAUUUUCUCGGUUAGCAAUAACUGAGGAAAUUGAGUGGCGAAUGGGUGCGUAACACGUGGGAAUUUAUCCGGAAGUGGGGGAUAGCUCGUCGAAAGGCGAAUUAAUACCGCAUAUGCCUGUAAGGGCAAAGUGGGGGACCGCAAGGCCUCACGCUAUCGGAGGAGCCCGCGCCCUAUCAGCUAGUUGGUGAGGUAAUGGCUCACCAAGGCUUAGACGGGUAGCUGGUCUGAGAGGACGACCGGCCACACUGGAACUGAGACACGGUCCAGACACCUACGGGUGGCAGCAGUCGAGGAUUUUUCUCAAUGGGGGCAACCCUGAAGGAGCGACGCCGCGUGGAGGAUGAAGGGCUUCGGCUCGUAAACUCCUGUCACCGACGAACAAGACAUCCGGAUUAAUAACUCGGAUGUUUGAUGGUAGUCGGAGAGGAAGGGGCGGCUAACUCUGUGCCAGCAGCCGCGGUGAUACAGAGGCCCCAAGCGUUGUUCGGAUUUACUGGGCGUAAAGGGUGUGUAGGGGGUUAGGUUAGUCUGACGUGAAAUACCGUUGCUCCACUACGGAUCUGCGUCGGAUACUGCCUAGCUAGAGGUUCGGAGAUGAGGGCGGAAUUCUCGGUAUAGCGCUGAAAUGCGUA
rnacentral:rRNA from 1 species